UUUCAUUUGCAUCAGAAAAAAAUGCAUGUAGUUUAGAUGAAGUUAUAUUUUGAAAAAAUUAUGUCACAAAGUGUUUAAUUAUGUCAAAUGGAAACUAACGUGG